UACAGAGGGUGCAAGCGUUAAUCGGAAUUACUGGGCGUAAAGCGUGUGUAGGUGGUUAGAUAAGUUAGAUGUGAAAUCCCCGGGCUUAACCUGGGCACUGCGUUUAAAACUGUUUAACUAGAGUGCUGUAGAGGGUAGUGGAAUUUCCAGUGUAGCGGUGAAAUGCGUAGAUAUUGGAAGGAACACCAGUGGCGAAGGCGACUACCUGGACAGACACUGACACUGAGGCACGAAAGCCAGGGGAGCAAACAGG
rnacentral:rRNA from 1 species